GGUUAGGCGUAGGCGGGGCAGUUAAGUCAGUGGUGAAAUCUUCGAGCUCAACUCGGAAACUGCCAUUGAUACUAUCUGUCUUGAAUACUGUGGAGGUGAGCGGAAUAUGUCAUGUAGCGGUGAAAUGCUUAGAUAUGACAUAGAACACCGAUUGCGAAGGCAGCUCGCUACACAAAUAUUGACGCUGAGGCACGAAAGCGUGGGGAUCAAACAGGAUUAGAUACCCGGGU
rnacentral:rRNA from 1 species